UCAAAGUGGCUUUGAAUGUGUCUGUUUGUGACAGCAUAUAUUGUUUUCUCUUCUUUUGAGUUACGUCUUUAAGUGAUUUUCAUGACUAAAAUACACUUACAGUUUAGUGGUGUUUAAUGAUGUGCAGAUCAGGGACGGAUACCUGUUGGAUGCACAAUACUAACUGUGGAUUCUGUAUACUGCGAUAUUUAUUUACAAGAAUUCACACACACACACACACACACACACAUUCUUAGUAACUGGAUGCAAAUACAACCUACUUUAUUUGUUGCUUAACCCAUAAAUAUUAAAAACAUUAACAUA